rnacentral:sRNA from 1 species
GGGUGGUGGUGGCCUGGAGACCCCCAAAGGGAAAGUGUCCCCUGCGCUGCUCCUGCUCCAAAGACAGCGCCCUGUGUGAGGGCUCCCCGGACCUGCCUGUCAGCUUCUCUCCGACCCUGCUGUCACUCUCACUCGUCAGAACAGGAGUCACCCAGCUGAAGGCCGGCAGCUUCCUGAGAAUUCCGUCUCUGCACCUGCUGUGAGUGGGGCCUGGCUGGGCCGACAACCAGCUCAAGGGAGUGGGCGUUUAUGCACAUGUGUGGGAGUGUAUGCUCACACAGAUGUCAGGUGGGCGUUGAUGCACGUGUGUGGGGGUGUGUGCACACGUGUGUGCAAAAGCAUUUGUGUCCAUCCACAUACUCACACUUGUGUGCCCAUGUCCAUAUAGGCUGAGGGUGGAGGCCAGGGUUAAAAUGUCAGGUGGGGGCUGCAAUUCUGGAAAAAUUUCUUUCUUGCCCCCUUGUCAGCCUCUUCACCUCCAACUCCUUCUCCGUGAUUGAGGAUGAUGCAUUUGCGGGCCUGUCCCACCUGCAGUACCUCUUCAUCGAGGACAAUGAGAUUGGCUCCAUCUCUAAGAAUGCCCUCAGAGGACUUCGCUCACUUACACACCUAAGCCUGGCCAAUAACCAUCUGGAGACCCUCCCCAGAUUCCUGUUCCGAGGCCUGGACACCCUUACUCACGUGGACCUCCGCGGGAACCCGUUCCAGUGUGACUGCCGCAUCCUCUGGCUCCUGCAGUGGAUGCCCACCGUGAACGCCAGCGUGGGGACCGGCGCCUGUGCGGGCCCCGCCGCCCUGAGCCACUUGCAGCUCCACCACCUCGACCCCAAGACCUUCAAGUGCAGAGCCAUAGGUGGGGGGCUUUCCCGAUGGGGUGGGAGGCGGAGAUCUGGGGAAUGGCUGCCAGGGCCAAGGGGCUCGCCUCACUCCCUGCCCUGCCAUUUCCCGGAGUGGGAAGACCCUGAGCAAGCAGCACUGCCUUCCUGAGCCCCAGUUUUCUCAUCUGUAAAGUGGGGGUAAUAAACAGUGAUAUAGGAGUGCCGUGGGAAUUCAAUGAUACAUCUUCACGUGUUCGGCAUUUGGCGCCGGGCCUGGGACA